rnacentral:lncRNA from 1 species
GACAAACCUUCAAGGCUGCAGAACUUGGCUUAUUGUUGCAGCAAGCCAAGACGAGCAGGUACCAUGUGACUCUGCAAAAUCAGAGGGUCCAGCUGACUUCAGCAGACUCCAUAUGGGCAGCAUUGAUUUGAAUGUGCACCCUGAAUCCUUGAAGGAUUCAGUCCCUCCCAUGCAGAAGAAGGACAAAUUCUGAGUGGGAAUGAUAGCUAUCAACCAGAUGCUCAUUUGCUCGCCCGAGGGUCACUGAGAAACAGGAACAAAAGGUACAACAGCUUGGAGAGCUGACACCACUCUUAAAGUUAAUGUAAACUCUCAUUGACCAAGCUCACUGGGGUAGAUCAGGCCCUGUAGAAGCCACUGCAAUAGUAAAAAAGGCAAAAAAAUAGACCUUUUGUGUAGAAAGAUAGCAAGGUACUAAAUAAUCGUUCCAAACAAGCUCUUGAUACAGAAUGUAAAAGAAUCCCUCCAGACAAAUACAUUUUAGUGAGGUUAUCCUAAUUCUCUCACACAAACCCUACAUUCCCACUUCUCAUUAUUUAUAUUCACUGUGGUUCUCAUGAGAGCAGCGAGCAAGAUGUCAUUUUGGAAGUGCUGCUAUCAAGGGCAUACGUAGUUUAAUUAUUAAAACAAAACUGUUGCUUAGCAAGCUUUAAAUGCCACUGCUGCCACUUAGAAACUGAUGUGAUUUGCAUUUCUUUUAAUCAAUUAGGUAUUUAAUUACAUUAUAAAUGUAAUCUCUAAUUGAAGCAUCUUUUCCCAGUGGGUAUAGCUCCAUGACGAUUUUGAACGAGCUAUCUGGAAGUUGGUGCAUGCUGCUGCAGGGUGGGUAUCUCACUAAUAAGCACUUAACAUYAUAU